rnacentral:rRNA from 1 species
CAUAGCCGCGGUAAUGCGAAGGGGGCUAGCGUUGCUCGGAAUGACUGGGCGUAAAGGGCGCGUAGGCGGAUGGCACAGUCAGAUGUGAAAUUCCCGGGCUUAACCUGGGGGCUGCGUUUGAUACGUAUUGUCUAGAGUGAGGAAGAGGGUCGUGGAAUUCCCAGUGUAGAGGUGAAAUUCGUAGAUAUUGGGAAGAACACCGGUGGCGAAGGCGGCGACCUGGUCCUUGACUGACGCUGAGGCGCGAAAGCGUGGGGAGCAAACAGGAUUAGAUACCCCAGUAGUCCCUGUCUCUUAUACA